CCUACGGGUGGCAGCAGUGGGGAAUAUUGGACAAUGGGGGGAACCCUGAUCCAGCCAUGCCGCGUGUGUGAAGAAGGCCCUCGGGUUGUAAAGCACUUUCAGUGAGGAAGAACGCCUGGUGGUUAAUACCCAUCAGGAAAGACAUCACUCACAGAAGAAGCACCGGCUAACUCCGUGCCAGCAGCCGCGGUAAUACGGAGGGUGCGAGCGUUAAUCGGAAUUACUGGGCGUAAAGCGCGCGUAGGUGGCUUGAUAAGCCGGUUGUGAAAGCCCCGGGCUCAACCUGGGAACGGCAUCCGGAACUGUCAAGCUAGAGUGCAGGAGAGGAAGGUAGAAGUCCCGGUGUAGCGGUGAAAUGCGUAGAGAUCGGGAGGAAUACCAGUGGCGAAGGCGGCCUUCUGGACUGACACUGACACUGAGGUGCGAAAGCGUGGGUAGCAAACAGGAUUAGAUACCCCGGUAGUC
rnacentral:rRNA from 1 species